rnacentral:rRNA from 1 species
UACGAAGGGGGCUAGCGUUGCUCGGAAUCACUGGGCGUAAAGGGUGCGUAGGCGGGUCUUUUAAGUCAGGGGUGAAAUCCUGGAGCUCAACUCCAGAACUGCCUUUGAUACUGAAGAUCUUGAGUUCGGGAGAGGUGAGUGGAACUGCGAGUGUAGAGGUGAAAUUCGUAGAUAUUCGCAAGAACACCAGUGGCGAAAGCGGCCUUCUGGGGCAUUCCUGACGCUGAGGUUCGAAAGCUCGGGGAGCAAACAGG